AGUGAACGCUGGCGGUAGGCCUAACACAUGCAAGUCGAACGGCAGCACAGUAAGAGCUUGCUCUUACGGGUGGCGAGUGGCGGACGGGUGAGGAAUACAUCGGAAUCUACUUUUUCGUGGGGGAUAACGUAGGGAAACUUACGCUAAUACCGCAUACGACCUACGGGUGAAAGCAGGGGAUCUUCGGACCUUGCGCGAUUGAAUGAGCUGAUGUCGGAUUAGCUAGUUGGCGGGGUAAAGGCCCACCAAGGCGACGAUCCGUAGCUGGUCUGAGAGGAUGAUCAGCCACACUGGAACUGAGACACGGUCCAGACUCCUACGGGAGGCAGCAGGGGGGAAUAUUGGACAAUGGGCGCAAGCCUGAUCCAGCCAUACCGCGUGGGUGAAGAAGGCCUUCGGGUUGUAAAGCCCUUUUGUUGGGAAAGAAAAGCAGCAGGUUAAUACCCCGCUGUUCUGACGGUACCCAAAGAAUAAGCACCGGCUAACUUCGUG
rnacentral:rRNA from 1 species